CCUACGGACGGCUGCAGUGGGGAAUAUUGGACAAUGGGCGAAAGCCUGAUCCAGCCAUGCCGCGUGUGUGAAGAAGGCCUUCGGGUUGUAAAGCACUUUCAGUGGGGAAGAAAGCCUUGGGGCUAAUACCCUCGAGGAAGGACAUCACCCACAGAAGAAGCACCGGCUAACUCCGUGCCAGCAGCCGCGGUAAUACGGAGGGUGCGAGCGUUAAUCGGAAUUACUGGGCGUAAAGCGCGCGUAGGCGGUCUGAUAAGCCGGUUGUGAAAGCCCCGGGCUCAACCUGGGAACGGCAUCCGGAACUGUCAGGCUAGAGUGCAGGAGAGGAAGGUAGAAUUCCCGGUGUAGCGGUGAAAUGCGUAGAGAUCGGGAGGAAUACCAGUGGCGAAGGCGGCCUUCUGGACUGACACUGACGCUGAGGUGCGAAAGCGUGGGUAGCAAACAGGAUUAGAUACCCGUGUAGUC
rnacentral:rRNA from 1 species